UACGGAGGGGGCUAGCGUUGUUCGGAAUUACUGGGCGUAAAGCGCGCGUAGGCGGCUUUGUAAGUUAGAGGUGAAAGCCCGGAGCUCAACUCCGGAAUUGCCUUUAAGACUGCAUCGCUAGAAUCAUGGAGAGGUGAGUGGAAUUCCGAGUGUAGAGGUGAAAUUCGUAGAUAUUCGGAAGAACACCAGUGGCGAAGGCGACUCACUGGACAUGUAUUGACGCUGAGGUGCGAAAGCCAGGGUAGCGAACGGG
rnacentral:rRNA from 1 species